CAUAAAGAGUAGAUCCUGCCAUGAGUGUUAAAACAGUCAAGGUAUAGACCAAUCCAGUAGUGGACAUCCUUUUUAUCCGAUACAACAGGUUGUCAAAUUCUUUCUUCUUGGCUCGACUUUUCAGUUUGUCUCCGAAAGAAUAGAAAGAAUCGAAAAAGACAUUCGAAAACUCCUCACUUGUGUUCCUGCGACUAUAACAAGCUAGAACAGGAAAUAAAGCGGCAUACAGUUACCAUGGAUACCGCAAAGGGUAAACAGAAAGUCUUUGGGCCAAAGGGACAGAUAUACUUUACAGUAUCUCCGCAUCAAUGCUAUUCAAGUGAAAACAGAAAACGGAAUGAAUAAAGACGUUCAAAGAUGCCUUACUUGUGUUAUGGCAGAUAACAAGUUAAGAACAGAAAAUAGAGCGGCGUACAGUACCAUCAUACCGCUAAGGGUAAAAAGAAAGUUGUUAUUCCAAAGGGAUGGAUAUUCCGUACAGUAUCCCUGUAUCAGUACUAUUCAAGUGAAAACAGAAAAGCAGGAAAUCAAAAGAAAAGUUCGAAAAUCUCUCACUUGUGUGGCCGUGCCAGAUUACAUGCUAAAACAGAAAGA